GGGGGCGAUAUGGUAUCGACCGGGCUUGACGAUGUCAGAGUGGCGUGCAGAGGUCCCAGACACCUCUCAAAUCCCUGGAAAAACUUUUAGCUGCCAAUAACAGCUACGCAUUGGCCGCCUGAGGUGGCCCGUCGGCCGAAGAUUCGCCUGCGUUCCUCGGCUGACGUAUAACAGCGGGCUGGCGCGACCGAGUCUGCCUCGGCGAGGUCGCGCGAGACACAGCGAGGCUGGUCCACCCCGCAUCCCGUCGGCAGGAGCCGGGGAGGACGAGAUUCAAAGAGUCGACUACGCACGUAGAAGCUCUGGCUGAGCGGCAACGGGACGCGGGUUCGAUCCCCGCCGCCUCCACUA
rnacentral:tmRNA from 1 species